rnacentral:misc_RNA from 1 species
GAUGAAGAACGUAACGAAAUGCGAUAAGUAAUGUGAAUUGCAGAAUUCAGUGAAUCAUCGAAUCUUUGAACGCACAUUGCGCCCCCUGGUAUUCCGGGGGGCAUGCCUGUCCGAGCGUCAUUACAACCCUCAAGCUCAGCUUGGUGUUGGGCCCCGCCGCCCCGGCGGGCCCUAAAGUCAGUGGCGGUGCCGUCCGGCUCCGAGCGUAGUAAUUCUUCUCGCUCUGGAGGUCCGGUCGUGUGCUCGCCAGCAACCCCCAAUUUUUUUCAGGUUGACCUCGGAUCAGGUAGGGAUACCCGCUGAACUUAAGCAUAUCAAUAAGCGGAGGA